GAUGAACGCUAGCGGCAGGCUUAACACAUGCAAGUCGCGGGGCAGCGAGGGGAUUGGCAACAAUCCCUGUCGGCGACCGGCGCAAGGGUGCGUAACGCGUGAGCAACAUGCCCGUCUCAGGGGGAUAACCGGUGGAAACGCCGCCUAAUACCCCAUGGCGAUAUAUUGAGGCAUCUUGAUAUAUCUAAAGCUCCGGCGGAGACGGAUUGGCUCGCGUGACAUUAGCUGGACGGCGGGGUAACGGCCCACCGUGGCUACGAUGUCUAGGGGUUCUGAGAGGAAGGUCCCCCACAUUGGAACUGAGACACGGUCCAA
rnacentral:rRNA from 1 species